GCCAGCGGGGAGGCGCCCCAGAGCUGCGGAGCUGCAGACCCGCCGACGGUCUCGCGCUCUGAUUUCCUCACCGUAUGAAAUGAAAUUCCACAGGGGGAUUCGAAAGGAAAUGAGACCGGGACUCUCCGUGCUUCUCGGCCCGCCGCCCUUCCUGUCUCGGGGACACGGUUUCUAAAUAAGAAACUGAUGCUCUGAGAGGCCAAGCAGUUUGCCCAAGAUUACACAGUCAUAGCCGUGCCUGGGAGAACCUUCUCUUCAACUCUGCCGCACCACUGUCAAGCUCACCUUUCUUCUAAGGUUUUAUUUUAGAGUUAACAUCCUCCAAAAAGCCUUCCUCAGGAGUUGAAGGGCCACUGACCAGAGGAAAUAAAAACUGGACUGAUUGGGCUCUCCUGAUGUAGACCAGCCAGUGGCCCUCUAAGUUUCCUUCUAUGUUUAAAAUUCCUUAUCUGACAUUGCUAGCUGAUCAGCAGGCCCACAGGUCAGCUGAGGGCUUAUCUCCAGGGCUGGAGCUUCAAAGAGAUACAUGCACACGACUCCCCUGGGUCAGAUGGGCUGUGUCACAGUGAGUUGGGGAUAAUUUGGGAUCAGUCAACAUAACACACAUAACACAACCCAUUAAUUUUUUUUUUCAAAAAGCGAAGUUUAUUUUACUUUUUCCCAUUAUGAAAGUCAUCAAUGCUCAUUAUAGAAAAUUUGGCAAAUAACAAAAAGUGGAAAGAAAAAAAUUCCUUAAUAAUUUAGUAUAUUUGAUAUAUUCAUCCUUAAUCCUUAAUCUUUUACUAUGUUAUAUCUUUAAUAGUUGUGAUGAUAUACUUUUUGUAAUAAAUAUAUAUUUGUGUUGUGGCUUUUUUAAAAUUUAAAAACA
rnacentral:lncRNA from 1 species